rnacentral:rRNA from 1 species
AGAAUUUGAUCUUGGUCAGGAUGAACGCUAGCGGCGUGCCUAACACAUGCAAGUCGAACGGAGUAAUUAAGCGGAAGUUUCGGAUGGAAGCAUAGUUACUUAGUGGCGGACGGGUGAGUAACGCGUGGGCAACCUGCCCUGUACCGGGGGAUAACACUUAGAAAUAGGUGCUAAUACCGCAUAAGCGCACAGCUUCGCAUGAAGGUGUGUAGAAAAACUCCGGUGGUACAGGAUGGACCCGCGUCUGAUUAGCUAGUUGGUGGGGUAGAGGCCUACCAAGGCGACGAUCAGUAGCCGGCCUGAGAGGGUGACCGGCCACAUUGGGACUGAGACACGGCCCAAACUCCUACGGGAGGCAGCAGUGGGGAAUAUUGCACAAUGGGGGAAACCCUGAUGCCAGCGACGCCGCGUGAGUGAAGAAGUAUUUCGGUAUGUAAAGCUCUAUCAGCAGGGAAGAAAAUGACGGUACCUGACUAAGAAGCCCCGGCUAACUACGUGCCAGCCGCGGC